rnacentral:lncRNA from 1 species
CACAAAUUAAGUUACAAGAUCCACACAACAUUUAUUCAAAUAAUUCAGAAGGCAGGGUCCGGCUACGGAAAAGAUAAACGAAAAAAGCAAUAUUCCCGCCUCACUAGGCCCACGAUCACCACCAAGGACCUCUAGUCAUCGGGGUGCAUCACGUACAUCCGGCCACUGUCCUCGUCAAACUCCCACUUCAGCUGGGUAUCCUCGUAAGCAUGUGCAUCUUCAAUAUGUACCUGUGGGUGGUUGUUGUAAUCUAUGAGCCACAAGGACUCAGCAAUCCCAUGACCAUGGUAUCGAAUCUAACUAAGUUGUUGGGUAAUGAUGGGGUACGUGUUUGAGUUUGUAGCUGCACUAAGCAUUUAUGGUGGCUAACUUACGAUAACAAGAUGUAAUUUAGUGGUCUACGCAUGAAGUUCGUGACUAAGAAUAAUCACUAAGUGAUCCUGAACACCUACUUACGUCAGUCAUAACCCCACCGUGUUCUUGAUCAGAGAUAGAACUCUGAAGGAAACAAUCACGGUUACCCACGUAGUUGCCAGGUGUUAUAAUUAAGUUACUUCAAGUUAUCUAGAACCAUAUAUUAACAAAGUUUCCAUGUUUGCCACAUAACCGUGGGCACGACUUUCCGAAAGAUUUAACCCUGCAGGAGUGGUCCAACCAAUCCAUCACAAAUUACCAUAGGCUGCAUAGAAGUCCUCGAUAAUGAAACUCGCGACCUCGUCGGAAUCCUUAGUGGAGAACCUCAACUCUAAGAAAAACCCAAAGUCUCACCGGAAUCCCAAUGCACAAGACAUUUUGUAAAAGGUAAAACUAAUCCAGCAAGGCCGCCCGUCAUGCCGACAGACCCGAUAGGAGCCGCGUAUCUCAUUCUCAUGGCAUGACCGAAUGAGCUAGACAUCGGGUUGGCUCAAACCCCGGGUGACCAGGGGGUGCCGGACAUUGCUCGGGUUGGACCAACACUCAUGAGGAGCACUGGCCCAGGUUGUUGCUUAAUUUCCUCAGUGUAGCUAUUCCCUAUGCUUUUUAUUAAGUUGUUAGCAACUAUAGUACUAAAGUUGGGCCUUGUAGAAAAAUCUUUACACUAAAACAAAUUAUCAAGGGCGUCCCCAUAACAACCCGGAACGUGUUAGGAGCGCUCAAUUAUAGAAUAAAACACCAGUAGCCAAAACUAGGGCGGCAAAAGAGGAACAAAUCACCUAGCAAAAGGCCAGACCUUCCGCCCUUUACCAAGUAUAUAGGUGUGUUAAUUAAAUAGCAUUUAAAUAAGGUGAUAACCAAAUUUCCCAUGUCAUCACAUGGACCACCUUGCACCUGCAACUAGCAAUGCUAUAAAAUGUUUAAGCAAGCACUAACUUAGCCAAACAAUAUUUGCUAGGAGGUGAAGGGUUAGGGGUUUCAUGGAAAUGUUUGGAGGCUUAAUUAUCAGGUGGUAGGCAGCGAUAAGUAACGAUGGAAACGAUUCAACUAGGCAUAACAAAGCUAGAAACAGUGUCACGGUCACGAUCAUCUUGCCUGUGAGAUUUUCGGACUAGAACUGCUCUUGAUCUUCCUGAACGUACUCAAUGAAAUCCUCGAACUUGUUCUCAGCACCCGUUGCUACCCAAAAGAAAUAAGGAACCAAUAAACACCAGCAAGUGACAAUGCUACAAGCAAUAUGAUGCAUGUCUGGCAUGAAACGAAGCAUGUCAUUUCUAUACUUGUCAUCUUUCAUGCAUUACUUGAGUUAUUAAUAUUCUGGACAGAACCUCAAGUUAACUUAUUAAGACAUGCAUGAUCAUGGCAGUAAUGUAUGCAUCAUGAGAAAAUGGUGCAAAAACAUAUAAAGAACGUCGCGAACCGAGUUAUGGAACUUCCAGAAACUAUAAAACAAGAUACAGAAGCCUAUGGAGACAAAACAACAAUAAACCAGAUGCUAUGGGCAUCCAAUUGUAAUUCCACGUGUGACAUUGGACUAAGCACAAAAUUCCAGGUGGAAUAGAGCUAAAGAUCAUGCAAUUCCAUCAAGCACAACUCACACAAAGGCCAAAACAAAAUAGCACCCAAUCUGUCCAAUAACAUCAUCUUACCACAUUACUCACACGAAUAAUGGUAGCUACACCCAUCCAACUAUUUCAACCAAGGUCUAAAAUCAAAGCUAUCAAACAGUACUACAAUACCAAACAAUAUAUAAUUCACUAGGUACAAGCAUCAAUGUCUACCAAGCUCUAAACAUGGCAAAGAAUCAUAACAUUUCAGGACAUAGUGUCUACCGAGCUCUAAACAUGGCAGUUUAUAACCUGAAGCAUUUUGACAGCAACAAAAUAUCAUGCUACAACCAACCUCAUGGCAUAAAAUAUAACAGGGUGAUAGAGGAUCCCAAAUUCUACAAAUCACCAGUUCAUAGCUUGGGCUAAAUACCCACACAAAACUUACUAGCACCAAAGUAACAGGGCAAGAGAAUAAUCACAGAAUCCGAGACUUAAUAAAACUAUGAUGCAAGGUCCUAUUGACAAACUUGUGGAACCAAGUUGUAUAGGAGUUGAAUCACUAGAAUUCAUGCCAUUGGUGCAAUCACCAAGGAUCAACACAUCCAUGGAAACCAUCACCACAAGAGGGGAAGAAAUUACCACUUCCAACACUUAGUAAAAUUCUAGCAUGUGAAUCUGCAACAGAUUUGUAGCUACUUGACAACAACGAAUCCACUUAGCUACAAUAUUAUCAUGGCAACCAAAAUUACCACGGCCUAGUACCCACAAAAUGCUAGAACUUUCAUGCUGACACAAACUCCAAAGCAUGCACAUAAUAAUUACUACAAAAUUCACAAAAUGCCACCUCAUCACAAAAUAGCUGUUUCGCAAACUUGCUCAAAAGUGAAAUCCAACACCACCAUUGGAUUCCUUGGGAAAUUCUACCGAAAACCAUCUGUCAUACCCGUAUAUUUUUGUAGAGAAAAC